GUGCUUGCUACAGCAGCACAUAUACCAAAAUUGGAAUGAUACAGAGAAGAUUAGCAUGGCCCCUGCGCAAAGAUGAGAUGUAAAUUCGUGAAGCAUUCUGUAUUUUU